rnacentral:rRNA from 1 species
GUUGCAGGGUAUAGACCCGAAACCCGGUGAUCUAGCCAUGGGCAGGUUGAAGGUUGGGUAACACUAACUGGAGGACCGAACCGACUAAUGUUGAAAAAUUAGCGGAUGACCUGUGGCUGGGGGUGAAAGGCCAAUCAAACCGGGAGAUAGCUGGUUCUCCCCGAAAGCUAUUUAGGUAGCGCCUCGUGAAUUCAUCUCCGGGGGUAGAGCACUGUUUCGGCUAGGGGGCCAUCCCGGCUUACCAACCCGAUGCAAACUGCGAAUACCGGAGAAUGUUAUCACGGGAGACACACGGCGGGUGCUAACGUCCGUCGUGAAGAGGGAAACAACCCAGACCGCCAGCUAAGGUCCCAAAGUCAUGGUUAAGUGGGAAACGAUGUGGGAAGGCCCAGACAGCCAGGAUGUUGGCUUAGAAGCAGCCAUCAUUUAAAGAAAGCGUAAUAGCUCACUGGUCGAGUCGGCCUGCGCGGAAGAUGUAACGGGGCUAAACCAUGCACCGAAGCUGCGGCAGCGAACGUAUCACCCAAGACAACUUUACGGAGUUGACGAUUGACGGAGCGAAGCGACGUCAAAGCGUUCAUUAAAGUCGAGUUGGCUUAGGGAUACGUUCGUUGGGUAGGGGAGCGUUCUGUAAGCCUGUGAAGGUGUGUCGUGAGGCAUGCUGGAGGUAUCAGAAGUGCGAAUGCUGACAUAAGUAACGAUAAAGCGGGUGAAAAGCCCGCUCGCCGGAAGACCAAGGGUUCCUGUCCAACGUUAAUCGGGGCAGGGUGAGUCGACCCCUAAGGCGAGGCCGAAAGGCGUAGUCGAUGGGAAACGGGUUAAUAUUCCCGUACUUGGUGUUACUGCGAAGGGGGGACGGAGAAGGCUAUGUUGGCCGGGCGACGGUUGUCCCGGUUUAAGCGUGUAGGUGUGUGUUCCAGGUAAAUCCGGUUCACUUUAACACUGAGGCGUGACGACGAGGCACUACGGUGCUGAAGCAACAAAUGCCCUGCUUCCAGGAAAAGCCUCUAAGCAUCAGGUAACACGAAAUCGUACCCCAAACCGACACAGGUGGUCAGGUAGAGAAUACCAAGGCGCUUGAGAGAACUCGGGUGAAGGAACUAGGCAAAAUGGUGCCGUAACUUCGGGAGAAGGCACGCUGACAC